rnacentral:rRNA from 1 species
UACAGAGGUGGCAAGCGUUGUUCGGAAUUACUGGGCGUAAAGGGCGCGUAGGCGGCCUUCUAAGUCGAACGUGAAAUCCCCGGGCUCAACCCGGGAACUGCGUCCGAGACUGGAAGGCUUGAAUCCGGGAGAGGGAUGUGGAAUUCCAGGUGUAGCGGUGAAAUGCGUAGAUAUCUGGAGGAACAUCGGUGGCGAAGGCGGCAUCCUGGACCGGUAUUGACGCUGAGGCGCGAAAGCCAGGGAGCAACGGG